AUAAAAAGUAAAAACAAAAGAUAAAAUCCAAAGAUGGAGACAGAGAGAACUAUGAAGAGGAGACACUGCGAUUUGCGACAUGCAACCAAUCGCAGGUCGCAGGUUACGCGACAGCAAAACGAACAACAACCUGCAAACUGCGAUCAGGUUUCAGGUCGCAUCGCAGGUCGCAUGUCACAUGUUGCAUAGGUAAACGAACAUGAACAUGGCUAAAGUAAAUUACGGUACGCCUUUUGUGUGUGUGCACUUUUCUAAUAUAAAAGGUUCAAUAAUUGGUCCUAAAAGACACUGGUUUAUCUGAACACCGAUGGCUAACGACUACAUUUUCUCUAUCCAGAAGCUCCUUCUUUUCUUCCUUAUUAUCUCGUGUCGCAAUGCUGUUGGUUCUGCAUCUAUUAUCUUCCUGGUUUUGAUGGCCUCUUCCUUUUGAGCUUGAAACCGGGUAUAUUGGUGUUGGUGAGGAAGAACAAGUGCAGUUGUUCUACUAUUUCAUCAAAUAUGAGGGGAAUCCUGAAGAAGACCCUAUUCUUCUCUGGUUAAGUGGAGGACCUGGUUGCUCUUCAAUCUCUGGUCUUCUUUACGAGAAUGGGCCUAUGACUAUGAAGUUGGAGGUUUACAAUGGAACUGUUCCUUCCUUGGUCUCUACUACAUAUUUCAUGGACUAAGGUAUAUCACAAAGUGUUGUACGUAUUUAAAAAUAUGACUGAGAUUACAACUCCACGCCUCAUCUUUUUCAAGCUGUGCAUCAGAUUUCGAGUAUAAUAGUUUGGACCAACCUGUUGAAACUGGCUUCUCCUACUCAACAACUCAUAAACUCGCUAGUAAACCUAGUGAUUCUGGAGAAGCCAAGUGUAUCCACGAGUUUCUUCACAAGGUACUUUUAAAAAAACUUACUUGGGGGGUCUCUUGGAGCAUUUAUGAGCCUUUUUGUGUGUGGUUGUUGUGCAGUGGCUAAACAAGCAUCAAGAGUUCGUCUCCAACCCUUUCUAUGUAGGUGGAGAUCAACGAUGAUACUCCAGAGAGCAAACCAAGUUUAGAAGAACUUGAUGCCCUCGAGGUAAAACUAGCAUCUCUUAGUUCACUAGGAUUUAUACAUUUUCAUGUUACAAAAGGCUCAAUAGGGUUCCAACACUUGUCUAACAAUGGAAUACAUUGUCAUCCCAGGAGGUUGACCGGUGGAGCUUCUUCCAAGAGGGUCAGACAUAAUAGUCCGACGCAGCUAGAGCUGGUGGAGAGUUAUCAACUCGCAGUGGAGAAUCUGGGAACUCAUCUUAACCCUCGUCUUCAGAUACUUCCUCGUCAGUUUCGUAGCCGCGCCCUCUGUUGCCGGGAAAAUAAAGGACGACUACAAAGACCAAAGACUCUUUUUAUCUAUUUUAUUUUGUGUUGUCUCUGAAGUUUCACAUUAUUGUUCACAAGGAAACCGACAUUUGAAAGUCGGUUUUUAUUAUGUUUGAACAAAAGUGGUUUGGUUUAGCUGUUUGACUCUUUGGUGGUCUAUCAAAUUCACUGUGGUUCCGAAAAUAUAUGUGGUGCUGCUCGUUCCAAAUUAUACUUAUUUGUUUUUUUUUUUUUUUUUUUUACUUAUUUGUUUUUUAUUAAAGGAAAAAACAGUGAUGCAGCUGAAAACAAAAAAAAUUAUGUGGCACCGAAUAAAUCAAGACCAGUACUCUUAGAAAUUAGAUCCGCAUGCACGGUUUCGAAUUACACCAACUAUAUAUAGGGUGAAACAAAAAAAAAUGGUAAUAAAACUAAUGUCUUUGAAGCACAAUAUAUCGGCAGAAACAUCCUACAUGCCGAAACCUUAAACAUUUGCUACUCCAAGGCAAUCAAUCUUCUGACAAAGUUAUCUACCUUUAAUGGUUUUCAUUAUCAGAUCAUAGUGGUUGAUUCUUUUAGAAACGUAAUAUAAAUAAUUAUUAGCAUCAAACAAUUUCUGAAAUAAAAAUUAUAUGGAAAAACUGUAAAAAUAAUAAUACAAAUUUACUAUUAUUAUGUAUUUCAUCUCUAAUGGUAAGCUAGCAAAUUUUUGUGACAGUUCAUUGAAAUGUUUGAAUCAAGCGUAGCAAAUUAAUUGAAGACGAUACGUUGAUCCAUGCGAUGGAUGAAAUACAUUUAGACUACAAUAUUUAUGGGUAAACUCUUAUUCAUUUUUUCGCUUAGAUCUAUAGGGAAAAUUGAGAUAUUUUUUUAUUUUAAGUAAAAAUUGGAGAAUACAUUAGUUAUAUUGUACAACAUUUGUUCAAAUUAAUAAAGGCGGUUAGUUAUUAAGUUUAUCGAGUGAAACCAAAAAAAUGUUAUUAAAUUUUUAUUAUUUAUGUUUUGAGUCUUGUAUUUGUGUCUUGUUUAAAUUAAGUCCUCCGAUAAUCAUUCUCGAACUCGUAGAUCGUAACCAAUGUUUCACCAUUGAGAAACUUAAACCGGAUAUUGGAAAACCGUAUGAUCAUGUAACCAUCAUCACGACACUUGUAUCCAAUCCCCAAGAUAUUGUAACGCGCCAAACAUCGCAAGAACAUUGUGCUUCUUUAAUCUUUUUAUUUGGCGGCAAUUAUCAUCUUUUAUCGAUUUUAAUAUACAAAAACUAUAUUAUUUUUUAAAUAUCCUCUUUCUUAUUUAAUGUUUUUUCUAAAAAUAAUAAUUAAAUUCACUUUUAUGAAUAAAAAGAAAUAAAAAAAAUUUGUAAUUGGAUAUAAUAUUUAAUCCAUUACGGUUAUUUAUGUAAUUGGUUUUUUAAGAAUUAAUAUGAAGAUGAUUUCUCAAAUUUAUAUCUAUGUAAAUUAAUUAAAUUUUCAUUUUAUUUUUUAGUAUUUUUUCUUAAUGUGGAUGGGAUUUGAGAAAUACGAUAUUAGACUAUCAGUUUAUGUUAUUUAAAAGUUAUUU